CCUACGGGAGGCAGCAGUGAGGAAUAUUGGUCAAUGGCCGCAGGUCUGAACCAGCCAAGUCGCGUGAGGGAUGACGGUCCUAUGGAUUGUAAACCUCUUUUGUCAGGGAGCAAAGGGCGCCACGUGUGGCUUUUUGCGAGUACCUGAAGAAAAAGCAUCGGCUAACUCCGUGCCAGCAGCCGCGGUAAUACGGAGGAUGCGAGCGUUAUCCGGAUUUAUUGGGUUUAAAGGGUGCGCGGGCGGAAUGUAAAGUCAGCGGUAAAAUUUUGGGGCUCAACCCCGUCGUGCAGUUGAAACUGGCGUUCUUGAGUGAGCGAGAAGUAUGCGGAAUGCGUGGUGUAGCGGUGAAAUGCAGAGAUAUCACGCAGAACUACGAUUGCGAAGGCAGCAUACCGGCGCGCGACUGACGCUCAUGCACGAAAGCGUGGGUAUCGAACAGGAUUAGAUACCCGAGUAGUC
rnacentral:rRNA from 1 species